rnacentral:rRNA from 1 species
GAACGGGUGAGUAAUGUCAUCGGAACGUGCCAUUGAGUGGGGGUAACGUAGCGAAAGUUACGCUAAUACCGCAUAUUCUGUGAGCAGGAAAGCAGGGGAUCGCAAGACCUUGCGCUCUUUGAGCGGCCGAUGUCAGAUUAGCUAGUUGGUGAGGUAACGGCUUACCAAGGCGACGAUCUGUAGCGGGUCUGAGAGGAUGAUCCGCCACACUGGAACUGAGACACGGUCCAGACUCCUACGGGAGGCAGCAGUGGGGAAUUUUGGACAAUGGGGGCAACCCUGAUCCAGCCAUGCCGCGUGAGUGAAGAAGGCCUUCGGGUUGUAAAGCUCUUUCGGCCGGGAAGAAAUCGCAUGGGUUAAUACCCUGUGUGGAUGACGGUACCGGCAUAAGAAGCACCGGCUAACUACGUG